AUUGAACGCUGGCGGCAGGCUUAACACAUGCAAGUCGAGCGGGGUGAUGGUGCUUGCACUAUCACUUAGCGGCGGACGGGUGAGUAAUGCUUAGGAAUCUGCCUAUUAGUGGGGGACAACAUCUCGAAAGGGAUGCUAAUACCGCAUACGUCCUACGGGAGAAAGCAGGGGAUCACUUGUGACCUUGCGCUAAUAGAUGAGCCUAAGUCGGAUUAGCUAGUUGGUGGGGUAAAGGCCUACCAAGGCGACGAUCUGUAGCGGGUCUGAGAGGAUGAACCGCCACACUGGGACUGAGAAACGGCCCGGAGUCCUACGGGGGGCAGCGGUGGGGAAAAUUGGACAAUGGGGGGAACCCUGAUCCAGCCAUGCCGCGUGUGUGAAGAAGGCCUUAUGGUUGUAAAGCACUUUGAGCGAGGAGGAGGCUCUUUUGGUUAAUACCCAAGAUGAGUGGACGUUACUCGCAGAAUAAGCACCGGCUAACUCUGUGCCAGCCGCCGCCGUAA
rnacentral:rRNA from 1 species